UACGAAGGGGGCUAGCGUUGCUCGGAAUUACUGGGCGUAAAGCGCACGUAGGCGGCUUUCUAAGUCGGGGGUGAAAUCCUGGAGCUCAACUCCAGAACUGCCUUCGAUACUGGAGAGCUUGAGUCCGGGAGAGGUGAGUGGAACUGCGAGUGUAGAGGUGAAAUUCGUAGAUAUUCGCAGGAACACCAGUGGCGAAGGCGGCUCACUGGUCCGAUACUGACGCUGAGGUGCGAAAGCGUGGGGAGCAAACAGG
rnacentral:rRNA from 1 species